UAGGGAAUCUUCGGCAAUGGACGAAAGUCUGACCGAGCAACGCCGCGUGAGUGAAGAAGGUUUUCGGAUCGUAAAACUCUGUUGUUAGAGAAGAACAAGGACGUUAGUAACUGAACGUCCCCUGACGGUAUCUAACCAGAAAGCCACGGCUAACUACGUGCCAGCAGCCGCGGUAAUACGUAGGUGGCAAGCGUUGUCCGGAUUUAUUGGGCGUAAAGCGAGCGCAGGCGGUUUCUUAAGUCUGAUGUGAAAGCCCCCGGCUCAACCGGGGAGGGUCAUUGGAAACUGGGGGACUUGGGUGCAGAAGAGGAGAGUGGAAUUCCAUGUGUAGCGGUGAAAUGCGUACAUAUAUGGAGGAACACCGGUGGCGAAGGCGGCUCUCUGGUCUGUAACUGACGCUGAGGCUCGAAAGCGUGGGGAGCAAACAGG
rnacentral:rRNA from 1 species